rnacentral:rRNA from 1 species
GAUGAACGCUGGCGGCGUGCCUAAUACAUGCAAGUCGAGCGAACAGACGAGGAGCUUGCUCCUCUGACGUUAGCGGCGGACGGGUGAGUAACAUGUGGAUAACCUACCUAUAAGACUGGGAUAACUUCGGGAAACCGGAGCUAAUACCGGAUAAUAUAUUGAACCGCAUGGUUCAAUAGUGAAAGACGGUUUUGCUGUCACUUAUAGAUGGAUCCGCGCCGCAUUAGCUAGUUGGUAAGGUAACGGCUUACCAAGGCAACGAUGCGUAGCCGACCUGAGAGGGUGAUCGGCCACCCUGGAACUGAGACACGGUCCAGACUCCUACGGGAGGCAGCAGUAGGGAAUCUUCCGCAAUGGGCGAAAGCUUGACGGAGCAACGCCGCGUGAGUGAUGAAGGUCUUCGGAUCGUAAAACUCUGUUAUUAGGGAAGAACAAAUGUGUAAGUAACUAUGCACGUCUUGACGGUACCUAAUCAGAAAGCCACGGCUAACUACGUG